AAUGAACGCUGGCGGCGUGUCUUAAGCAUGCAAGUCGUGCGGCAAGGGUAGCAAUACCCCUAGAGCGGCGGACUGGUGAGUAACGCGUGGGUGAUCUGCCUCUGGGAUGGGGAUAGCCACUAGAAAUAGUGGGUAAUACCGAAUACGUUCGUCGGGCUGUGGCCUGACGAGGAAAGGCGCUUCGGCGCCACCCGGAGAUGAGCCCGCGUCCCAUUAGCUAGUUGGUGAGGUAACGGCCCACCAAGGCGAUGAUGGGUAGGCGGCCUGAGAGGGUGUACGCCCACACUGGGACUGAGAUACGGCCCAGACUCCUACGGGAGGCAGCAGCUAAGAAUAUUCCGCAAUGGACGAAAGUCUGACGGAGCGACGCCGCGUGGAUGAAGAAGGCCGAAAGGUUGUA
rnacentral:rRNA from 1 species